rnacentral:lncRNA from 1 species
AAUAAAAAAAAGUUUAUUACUUUGUAAUUGGUCAGAAAAUUAAAAUGAUAUUAAAUUUUACCUAGAAUAUGAGAACAUCAAUUAUUUUGAAACAAAUUUUUUUUCUCUAAACACCACUUAAAGUGAUACGGAGUGUGUAUUUUGUAACCAGUUCAAAUUAAGCGCUUAAAUAAUGAUUUGUUUGUUUCUAAUGGAAAUUGAAUCCAGUUUAUAGUGGAUCAUCCCAAUGAAUAUAUCACAUCUGUUGGUGGGAGCUAUGAUAUUGUUCGAACAUACUAUCAAUCACUCCUGAUCAAAUCACUAAUCUUUAAGACCAACACUGGAAGAGCAUCUCCAGUGCUCGGUGGGACAACAGAAUCGGGACAACCAGCUGGGACAGAAUUCACCUUGGAGGGUAAGUAUGGAGAAAAGCUUCUUGGAUUCUUUGGACGUGCUGGUCAAGCUCUUGAUGCCAUUGGAGCUUACUUGGGACCCUGGGUGGUAACAAGGGAAACAAAUUCGACGAUGGUAUUCUCGACGGUGUUAAAAAAGUAACUGUUGCAGCGGGUGAGUACAGUGUAACUUAUAUAAAGAUCGAAUACGAAAAUAAUGGAAAAGAUGAAGUCCGUGAACACGGGACAAACCGGGGGGAGUUAAAAGAGGUCAAAACAUAUAAAAUUAUGUUUGUUGAAUCUAGUUAAUAUUUAGUUGCAUUACUAUUAUUUCAUUGUUUCUAAUGGAAAAAUGAAAUACAGUUCUCGGUAAACUAUCCGGAAGACAAUAUUGUCUCCGUUGGUGGAACCUACAAUCAUAUCUUCAACUAUGAUACAACGCUUAUCACAUCUUUGUACUUCACCACCUCCAAGGGAUUUACCUCACCAUUGUUUGGUGUGGCCAAGGGUAAAGACUUCGAGCUCCAAGGUGAAAGUGGAGAAAAGCUUCGUGGAAUUUAUGGACGUGGUGGUACUGCCAUCGAUGCCAUUGGGGCUCACUUCGGACCGCUUGGUGGUAACAAGGGUAACACAUUCGACGAUGGUUUUUUCGAUGGUGUGAAAAAAUUAACCAUUGGAGCAGAUGAGUACAGUAUAGUUUAUAUGAAGAUCGAAUACCAAAAGGAUGGAAAGGUCAUAGUCCGUGAACAUGGGACGUUUGACGGGAUUCUAAAAGAGGUCAAAACAUAUAAAAUUUGUUUGUUGAAUUUCGUUAACAUUCAGCUGCUUCGCGCUAUUAAUUGAUUCUUUAUAGUUAAAAAAAUGAAAUACAGUUCUCGGUGAACUAUCCGGAAGACAAUAUUGUAGCUGUUGGUGGAAGCUACAAUCAUAUUUUCAAAUAUGAUACAACGCUUAUCACAUCGUUGUACUUCACAACCUCUAAGGGAUUUACCUCUCCAUUAUUUGGUGUGAAAAAAGGAAAAGACUUCGAGCUCAAAGGUGAAAAUGGAGGAAAGCUUCUUGGAAUUUAUGGACGUGAUGGUACUGCCAUUGAUGCCAUUGGGGCUCACUUCGAGACUGGUUCUGGUUAAAAAAUCGCCGGUUUUCAUGGGGUCCAUUAUCGCCAAUUCAGGCUUGCCAUUUAAUUGCUUUUUCUUUGAUUACAUAAAAUAAGGCCAUCCGAAGUCUGCUUUUACCAUGCUUGUGUGUUUGUGUGUGUUUUAAUAAAAACUAGAUUUUGACCCGCGCAGGCGCGCGGGUGUAUAUUUUGAAAAAUAUGUUGAUAUUUGUUUUUCAUGUAAUUAUUAGGAUUUGGAAAAAUGAAUCCGAGGAACAUAACCGAUACCGAUCCAAAGAUAUAGUACCAAACCCAAACAUAAAUUGAUUAAAUAUUCUAAUUAUUCAAAAUUUUGUUAUUUAGAGAACCGAAUCUGAUCCGAACCGAAGUAUUUAGGUAUCCGAAUUUAUCUAAAAAUAGAUUUAUAUACUUAUAUAUAUUAAUUAUUUUUAGAUUUAACGUAUAUAAAACAUCAAAAAUGAUACUUUUAAAUUGAUUUAAAUACUUGAAAAUAUAUAUAGAUAGUCAAAAGUAAAUAUCUGAAAUAGUUAAAGUAUACUCAAAUCACCAAAAAUACUUAAAAUAAUUAUUGAUUUCGUAUCCAAAAUUUUAAAUCAAGCCAAUUGAUAUGUUAAGUUUAAGUAUUAUGACAUAUGUUAUUCAAAUUUAUACGUAAUAUAUUAUUUUAUUUAUACAUUUUGAGAAAUUUAAAAUAUAUAAUGAUUUAAGACUUUAAAAAUAAUUUAAAUUAGUUAUCCAAACCCAAACCAAACCCGCAAAGAUCCAAAUCGAACUCAAACCAAAAUUUAGAAACAUUCUAAUAAGGCUGAAAUCUUUGACCCCGAAAACCCAAAAUACAAACCGAUCAGAACUAAACCCGUAUGGGUAUCCAAAAGCCCAUCCCUAGUCAUUAUUAUAUAUCGUAUUUUAUCAUCAUAUAAUUAAUCGUAUUUUAUAUGUACCAUCAUAUAAGUAAUCAUAUAAUUAAUAGUAUUUUAUACAUACCAUCAUAUAAAUAAUUACAUAUAUUAUAUUUUUAAAACUUAAUAUGAAAUAUGAAAACCAUAAUUUGAGUUGGUAUUUCAAAUUGGGCUUUGUAUUAUAUUUUUCUUAUAUAUAUUGACAAUAUUUUUUUAUAAUGGUUAUUGAAAAAUAGUUUAGUAAAAAUCCAUUUUUGAAUAUAUGUAUAUUUUUGAAUCAAUUUUUGAUAUAAAUCAAAUUUGAAUUAUUAUUUUGAUUUGAAAUAUGUAUAUAAAGUUUAAAUUUUGUUUUAUGGUUAGUUUAGAAAAAAAAAAUUUAGGGAAUUAGAUUGACCCAUUUUGGUAUAUUUUAAAAGUGGCCUAGAUAACUUUCAAUUUUUUAAAAAAACAUAAGCCCAUUACUUUUUUUCUUAAUACUACUAUCCUUGUUUUCAAACAAAAAUAUUUUUUUUUAAAAGACUGCAAUCCAUGUUUCCAAACACUCCAAAUUUUUAAAAGUCCUAUUCAAGUCUCCAAACACUCCAAUUUUGUACUUGAGUUUUAAUAAGAUAGAUGUGAAAUUUUUUGUUUGUUGGUAAAAUGUUAAAUUUAUACCAUUUUCUAAGAUUUAUAAAUGUUGCAUACAACUUAUUUCUGCAAGAAAGAAACUAAAAAACAACCUACUACUAGCGCGGACGAACCUCAUGGAGGUCUAGUACACAAAAAAUAGAACUGCAGCAACGAUGGUGACUGGUCUGGAAACGGGAAGGAGAUGAGUCUGUCCCGGAGUAGACGAUCCAAAGCAUGACAGAAACCAGCAGCAGAAGUGGAGGUGGAAGUAAAGACCCGAGCAUUUCUUACCUCCAUAUAAGGUAGAUGGAAACUGGAAGAUGAGAUUGAUCACCGAGCCUGCUUUAGGAUCCAAACGUUGUCUGUGGAGUGAAUAUCUUAAUAAAUUGUUAUAUUUUAUAUUGGCACAACUAAAGACUGAUAAAAUUUAUUAAUUUAUUAUAUUUAUUUAUUGAAUAUUAAUUUAUAUAAUUUUUAAUGUAAUUAUAGAGCUGGCAAAAUUUUACUUGUCUGGGUUGCUAGAAGUUAGGAGUAUAUGAUUAAUUUGUAAAGUUAACAAAAUUAUUGUAAUGUGUUAAAGUUGAAUAUAUGUUGAAUAAUGAAGCAGAAGAAAGAGAAAAUAACAUAGACUAUGUUAAAAGAUGAAUGAAUGGUUUAAAUCUUGAAAAUACUGUAUAUAUAGUCUUAGUCAAAUAAUAUCUCAGAAAAGUAAAUAUUAAAGCAAAAAAAUAGUAUAUAGUUAUGGGCCUCAUUUAUAUACUCCCUCCGUUUCAGAAUAGAUGAUGUUUUAGAAAAUUGUUUUUGUUUCAAAAUAGAUGAUGUUUUGAUUUUUUUAUAUUAUCUUUAAUUUUACUGAAAACUGUGCAACCAAUCAGAUAUUGCAGUUAUUUAUGUAAUUGGUUGAAUGAGUUUUAAAUUAUAUUUUUAAGUUAUUUUUUUGAAAGAAAAGAGAUUUCUUAAUCUUUGUGCAUUAAGCCAAAAUAUCAUGUAUUGUAAAACAGAGGGAGUAUUUGCUAUAGGCCACAGCUUUAGGCCACAGUUACUAUAUAAGUAAAAAGGGACAGCACUAGUGGCUAUAAAAUAUUUACCAGAAAUAAGUCAUGUAUUUCGUACACGUGAUUCGUUAUAUGAUUGGUUUACGCAUUUCUUGCAACUUUUAAACUAUUUUAUUUUUUCAUUAUUAAAAGCAUUUCCAUUGUAAUUCAUAUUUUAUUUUAAAAUAGAAUAACUCCAUAAUAGAGUGUGGUUUAUUCUCUACUCAACUUUAAAGUAAAAAUAAAGUAAUGAACAUAAAAUAUAAUUCAUUUCUAAAAUAAAUGUAUUUUUACUUUAUUAUAGAAUAAAAAUAGAAUGAAAUUAGAACAUUUUUGAAAAUAGAAUAUGGUUGGAAAUGCUCUACAGAACUUUUACAUCUAUGUUUCAAUUAUCAAGUUUUAACACUUGUCAGAACUCAAAACACUUCUAGCCAUUUUUCUUUUUGAAACUAACUUUUAGCCAUUUCGAUUUUUGUUUUUUAACCUAAAGCAAAAAUAUUAAAGUAAGAACUUAUUUAUACACCAAUUAUUGAACUGUUACGAUCUUUUUUUUUAAACAAUAGAACUGUUACGAUCAAGACCUACAAAAAUUAGCCUUAUUCGGCUAGAUAUUUUAUUUGUGGUAGGAGAAAACUGAGAAGGACAAUUUUUUUUUUCUGUCAGCCAAACAUAGUUAAUAUACCCCACGUGACAAAUAAAUAGCCUUUGCUUUUUUUUUUUUUUUGUUCAAAUAAAUAGCCUUUGCUAACGGACAUUUUUAACCUUGUUUUCUUUUUAGAUAUUUUAUAUGGUGGGAGAAAAUUGAAAAGGACAUUCAUUUUUCUUUUAUUGUUUCGUCAGGAAUGGCAAAAAUGUUGAAUAUCCCCACGUGACAAAUAAAUAGCAUGAGCUAACCUUACCGCCAAAAUUGCUAUAAAUAUCAUACCAUUUGCUAUCCCCAACUCACUCUCAUCCUCAUCUUGCCAUUCAGGUACUCUCUCUCUCUCUCUCUCUCUCUCUCUCUCUCUCUCUCUCUCUCUCUCUCUAUUUUACUUUUUUCUUCCUUUGUUUUAUUACAUGUGAACUUAGUGUAGUUUGAAGUAACAAAAGACCAUUUUCUUUUGCUUCUCGAUUCAAUCUUUCAGGUUUUUGUAAAGGUAAUAAAAGGAAAUAAUGUCCAAAAAGGUGGGAGCAGUGGGUGGAUACUUGGGAGAAGCAUUCGAUGAUGGUGUUUUCGAUGGUGUGAAGAAAAUAGUUGUGUCAGUAGAGGGAGGUCUUUUUAACUGUAUAUCAAUGAUCAAGAUCGAAUAUGAAAAGGAUGGGAAACUUGAAUCCCGUCAACAUGGAACAAUUCGUGGGGAAUUAAAAGAGGUAACAUUUUGGGAAACUUUGUUAUAAAAAUAUUUUAUUACACACUUUUCGUCAAACGAAUACUCAUUUAUGUUAUUUAAAAAUAUUUUAAUAUUCAUAAUAUAACUCAAAAUAAAAAAUAAAAGUUAGUAUACAACAUAUUCAUUUUGAAAAUUUAUAACAAUAGACCAAAAGUAUACAUUAAAUUGAAUAUUUGAGUUCUUUUUUAUUCAUAUGUUAGAUGCUUAAUUGAAGUGUUUGAAGUAUCUCUAAAAGCAACAUUAAAACUUCAAAUAUAAAGUUUAUGUGUUCUUACUUCUUACACUUAUAUUUUUAAAAAUAAUUGUAUCAACUUUUUUCUUUUUUAUUUUAUCAUUUUAAUCCUUAUAAUUUCACAUCUCAUAAUUUUUUACAUAUAAUUUAACUAUCAUACCUAAAGUUUAAAUAUUAGAAUACUACUAAAAUUAUGUAAAUAUGAUUUAAAAUUUCCAAAACCUCAAAAACGUUAUCCAUAUAAUUUUGGUUUAAUCUAAAGGCAUUGUUUUCAAUGAAUUCAUUAUAUUAUUCUUCAUGUUCAAACUGAUAAAUUCAUAAAGAGUAUCAUUAUUGUCGAUUAUUAUUUAUUAUAAACGUUUUAUGAGUUUAAGAAGUUUUAAGCAAUUGUAAAGACCUAUAAAACUUUGAAAGUUCAAUAUAAGAUUUUGCUUUUGGAGAGGAACACCAUUAAACUUUAAAUUUGAGGCUUUUUCCAAACAUCAAAAUAAAGUUGUUUUUGAGAUGUUGUUAUUAUUAAUAUUUUAGAGUAUUUUUAAUACUUAUUCAGAAUUGGGUUUAGUAUGUUUUUGUUAGAUUUUUGAAAAAUUUAAAUUUUUCGAGUACUCAAAUGGAUUUGGAUUUCAUUCGGGUAAAACUUAAAACUUUAAAUAACUUUAAACAACUCAUUCGAAUAUUUAUGUUGAAUUCGGUUUUGUUCGGAAUCAUUUUUUUCUGGUUGGUUCAGUUUGAGUUUCAGGUUACCCUAACUAGGUCAACGAAAAUUGAAAAUCAAAUCAGGUGAUGGGAAAGUUUGAACGCCAGUGCCUGUGUAUUAUAUGAUUGACAUUUUCUCAACAAAAAUAUCGUUACUUCUUUAAUACCUUGUAACCAGUUCAAAUUAAACGCUUAAAUACUAAUGACUUGUUUGUUUCUAAUGGAAAUUAAAUCCAGUUUUCAGUGGAUUAUCCGAAUGAAUAUAUCACAUCUGUUGGUGGAAGCUAUGAUAGUGUUCGAUACUAUGAAGUACCGCUGAUCAAAUCACUAAUCUUUAAAACCAACACUGGAAGAACAUCUCCAAUACUCGGUGGAACAACAGAAUCUGGACAACCAGCUGGGACAGAAUUCACCUUGGAGGGCAAAUAUGGAGAAAAGCUUAUUGGUUUCUUUGGACGUGCUGGUCAAGCUCUUGAUGCCAUUGGAGCUAACUUCGGACCGCUAGGUGGUAAC